AACACAUGCAGUCGAGCGGCAGCGGGUCCUUCGGGAUGCCGGCGAGCGGCGGACGGGUGAGGAAUGCAUCGGAAUCUGCCCUGUCGUGGGGGAUAACGUAGGGAAACUUACGCUAAUACCGCAUACGACCUACGGGUGAAAGUGGGGGACCUUCGGGCCUCACGCGAUAGGAUGAGCCGAUGUCGGAUUAGCUAGUUGGUGGGGUAAAGGCCCACCAAGGCGACGAUCCGUAGCUGGUCUGAGAGGAUGAUCAGCCACACUGGGACUGAGACACGGCCCAGACUCCUACGGGAGGCAGCAGUGGGGAAUAUUGGACAAUGGGCGCAAGCCUGAUCCAGCCAUGCCGCGUGUGUGAAGAAGGCCUUCGGGUCGUAAAGCACUUUUGUUGGGGAAGAAAACUGCGUGGUUAAUACCCGAGCAGGCUGACGGUACCCAAAGAAUAAGCACCGGCUAACUUCGUGCCAGCAGCCGCGGUAAUACGAAGGGUGCAAGCGUUACUCGGAAUUACUGGGCGUAAAGCGUGCGUAGGCGGUUUGUUAAGUCAGAUGUGAAAUCCCCGGGCUCAACCUGGGAACUGCAUUUGAAACUGGCAGGCUAGAGUACGGUAGAGGGUGGUGGAAUUCCCGGUGUAGCGGUGAAAUGCGUA
rnacentral:rRNA from 1 species